rnacentral:lncRNA from 1 species
CCAAAACCAAUCUUUGCUUUGCACCCCUGACCUUGUCGCCCAGCCAAAAGAUUUCAUUAUUUAACAGUCAAGUUCAGCAUCGAAACUUUCACUUGGAGCUUCCUCGUUUUAUGAAACAUCACCACUGCUGUUUCGUUUCCGUGCUUACAAUUCAGUUUACAAUUGAAGUCCAGUUUUGAGCUCCAUUUUACAAAAAAAUCAUUUUUUUCAAACUUAUUUUUAAUCAAUUUUUUUUUUCCUUUUUUAACAAUAGAAUAAUUUUAUACGUAAAUUCAUUUUUUAUAAAACCUAUUCUCUGCUUUAAGACAUGUUUUCCCAUAAAAUAGGCUGAAACAAUACGGGAAAUCUGAAACAACUAAUGUUUCGCCUACCUACUGUUCGAUGAAAUGUCCCCGAAACCAUUCUAAACACAUAACCCUUAUUUAUAGUUGUUACUGCUAAAAAAUGGCAGCUCUAUUCCUCAGAAGAGUCACCACCUUUAAGGCAAUAGCGAAUUGUCAUUCUUUUUCAAGGCAGUGUAUUUCAUUUUCUUCGACAAGAACCCCGACAUUUAUUGGCAAUGAUAAGAGAGACUCUGUUACCAACUACAAUGAUAGGCUUCAUCUUUCACCGUUGUUCUCGGAUAAUAAGAAUGAAGUAUGUGUAAAAGACUGCGGAAUUGAACUCGUGGAUGAUGAGACAUGGCAAGUGUCCUCGGUUAUAGCUGAUCUAUGGAGAGGGAAUGAUGAGAGGAAAGCGUGGGAAAAAAAGCCUUUUUCUGAUGAUCAAGAUGAUGACUAUAAUGGGGUUGUCAAGUUUGUGGCUUUAAAUAAGGGGAGCCCUGAUUUUGAUGAGAUUGAGGAUAUGAGGAUUCGUGGGUCUUUGUUUUACAAGCUUGACAAGAAUUCCAAAGAGUAUGAUGAAUAUAAAUUUGAUUUCCACGGGAGGAAAAAUUCAAAGAAUCAGAUUGAUAGGAAAGAAAACAAAAAGAACAAGGAGAAAGAUGAUCGAAGUUGCACGUUGGUGUCCAAGGUUGAGAAAACUUCAAAGAAGAAUGAGCCAAAAGAAAUCAAGCAAAAUAAUAAAGUGGAGAGAUCAAAGGGAAUGGAUAAGAAUGAGCAGAAAGAAAUCAAGAAAAAUAAAGUGAAUAAAGUAGAGAGAUUACAGGGAAUUGAAAAGAAUGAGCAUUUGAUUUCUCGUCUUCAUGAAAUGGGAGAUUCUUUUGUUGGAAAGAUGCAACGGACUCUCACUUUCAAUCAGUUAACGGCUCCUUACCAUGAACCAUUUUGCUUGGAUAUUUAUAUAUCCAAGGGUUCUGUGCGUGCUAGCGUUAUUCAUCGUGUUACUAGCAAAGUUGUGGUAGUGGCGCAUUCUAUUUCCAAGGACAUGAAAUUUGAUUUGGGUUCGACUAAGAAUAGAAAUGCUUGUGCUGUGGUUGGGGAAGUGUUGGCUCAGAGGGCCUUGGCUGAUGAUAUCCAUAAUGUGGUUUAUACUCCAAGGAAAGGGGAGAAAUUGGAAGGGAAGCUUCAGAUUGUACUUGAGUCCAUAAUUGAUAAUGGAAUCAACGUGAAGGUGAAGCUUAAGCAGAGAAAAUCCAGAGGAACCAGAGGCCCUGCACUCUGAACUCAGCACUAACACUGAAUGUCAAGGCUUUUGUUGGGUUAAAAAUGUGUUUUGCCAUAUAGGCUAUACUGGAUUUGAAAAUAGGUUAUGAAUAUGUCCUCGGUAAUAAAUUUUAAAGCAGACCGAGCAUACUGAUUGCUUGUGGGAACUACUAUGAAGUGCCUGUCUUUUAUGGCUAAGUUUCUUGCAUUGCUGCUGUAGUAUUUUACAUGCCGGCUCUUCGGAUUACUGUAUGUUAGCUACUUGAACUAUGUUUUAGGAAAAUAAUCAUUUGAUAUAUUCUAGGCAUGGUUUUAUGGUGUGCGAGAAAUGCAGACAAGGAUUAUUAUGCAUUUGAUUCAUCAACAUUCGUUAUAUGAAAGAAUCUGAAGUAGAAGUUUUGUUUAUCCUCUUUAAGGUCAAAUUUGUCCUGAUUGGUAGCAUUCUCCUUUGCAUCAUUUACAUUCAGGUGGAGAUUGUAAACUCAUAUUAUGCGUAUUAUGAUGCGACCAAUAAUAUUAAAGUCUUCGUUUCGAAGUCCUUUUUCUGGUAGCUAGAACCAAGUAUAAAAGUCCAAAUAUUUAACAAGGCUGUGAAGCAAUUAUAGUCGACCAAAGAAUCUAUAAUGAGGUACUUACCAUUGUAAGCAAAGAACGGCUGGGUUUGUUGCAUGUGCUGUCUACUCUGCUUUUAAUUGUGUUGACUGGGCAGCUUCAAGAUCAACCUAUUGAAAACCUUAUAUUCCUUGAGAAGGUUCUACCAUGUGGAAAUGCUCUUUAAUGGAACUUUAACUGUAACCGUCGUGACCAGAAAACCACCGGUUAAGAGAAAUAUACAUCAUGAACUUUUGGUUUCGGAUACUGUAAUUUUUUAUAUGAAGGGGAAAGUGAAGGAAUACCAAGAAUUGGCCCUGUGCAAAAGAACAAUCUACGAAGCUGGGGAUUACCUAGGAAACCUGUUCAAGAUCCAGAGAAACAGAUGGGGAAGUAAGGAUUAGAUGAGUUUCAUCGCUUUUCACAAGGUUCAAACACAAUGCUGUGCAAUAGGCUGUCAACAAAUGAGUCUCAAUGAAUGUUGAAUGAAAGAGCAUUCUUUUGAUCUGAAAUUCUAGCAAACCUCUGGUUGUGGUGCAUUCUAUUUCCAAGGCCAUGGGUUCGACUAAGAAUAGAAAUGCUUGUGCUGCGGUUGGGGAAUUGUUGGCUCAGAGGGCCUUCGCUGAUGAUAUCCAUAAUGUGGUUUAUAUUCCAAGGAAAGGGGAGAAAUUGGAAGGGAAGCUUCAGAUUGUACUCAAGUCCAUAAUUGAUAAAUGGAAUUGAUGUGAAGUUGAAACUUGAGCAGAGAAAAUCCAGAAAAACCAGAGCCUUGCCCUGAGAACUCAGCAGUAAUACUGCGUGUUAUGGCCUUCAUUGAGAUACAAAAUGUGGUUAGCCAUAUACUGGAUUUAUGGGCUCUGAUAAUGUCCUAGGAUCUAAAUUUUGAAGAAGACCGAGUUUAUUUAUCACUUGCGGGAGCUACUCUGAAGUGCUUGCUGUCUGCAUCAAUAUCAAAUGGAGUCAGUGAGUACAUUUUUGAUACGAUCAUAUUUAUUCACUGAACAUAAGUGUUGAAUGCUUUGUUAGCAUACUUCCACAUGGAUAUGGAGAAGUGUCUACUUUUUAAUUGUUAGUCACCUCUGAACUCACAUUGUGUCCAAUUACUGUUAUACAUGCAUGGAUGAAUUACUGUUCAUUAACAUUUGACCAUACUGCCAAAUUUGUUAAAUGACCUUAUAUGUCUACAUUCAACUCUGAGAAGUAGUAUUGAACCCGUAAUAAUAGAUAGAUACCAGCCAUGAACAAUGCAUUUAUUCAAUACAUGUCCUAUUUUGCUACUUUUAUCUAUGAAGAACUUUGUUUAAUGGUAGCAGGCGUUUCCAACUAAAUCUUCUUGUGCUUAAAUUUUAGACUGAAUGCGAAUGAUUUUAUCAUUCUUGGUUGUCAAAGAGAACGCUUUUAGAGAAAUCUAAACGUGGAAGCCUAAAUAUUCUUCAAACAAUAGAAAUUCCAGCAAGUAAAUACAAGGUAUCGUUAACCUUUGCCUUCAGAAUCUCACUUUGCACAUUCCUCUUAUAGAUUUAAUGCAGAAAAACAGUAACAAUUAGCAGUGCCUCAAAACUGAAAAUUUUAACAACCAACGGAUUUAUUAGUCAUUGGAAGUAACUAGCUGCAGACAGAGCAAUUCUUCCUCGGGUAUGAUUCUAAUGUGACAAUACACAAUAAAGCAUAACCUCUCUCCUCAACAUCCUCACUAAGCAUCCCAUCACUUUGGUCGUCCAUUCUUGAGCCGGGCAUGUCAUGCAUUACAGUCAUAUGGCACUGGCAAAUCACUUUCCAAUGUCUUCGAUAGAAUUGUCUCGUCUGGCUCAACCUCUAGUUCAGUUGUUUUACCUUCAUAUUCAAUUAGUACCUUGUAAGCAUGGAUGUAGGAAUCCCAGAUCAAUUAUGGGAUUUAUUGUAUCUUAUAUUUAUGGUAUACUUAUAAGUUACGAAAGAUCUUUCUUCCUUAGAAUAUUAUUAUUAUUAUUAUUUUUUACUACCAAGUAUUGUGUAUAUAUUUAGGCUGGUUGUAUUGAAAAUAUAUUGAGAAAAAAAGAAUUAAAUCUCUCUCAUCUUGUUCACAAUGGACAAUGCUGGAUAAUCUGCUAGAAGUUCUUAACCAGGAAUUUGAUUGUUGGGCUGAAGGGAAUGUUGCCAUGUCUUUUGGAUAGGUGUAGAAAUGGGCAAGCUUUUUGGAGUGUAGAGAUGAUGUAUGGCGUGUGAGAGGACAAGGCUCUGAUGGAUGUGGAUGGUUAUCAAAGUAACUUUCACUUUUUUUUAAGUAAAUUGACUUAUUUUUAAGUUGAGUCUAAUUUCACUUGAAAUGGGAAAAUAGAAAAGAGUAUUUUGACCACAAACCUAAUUAUAAAUUCUUGCAUUCGAGUAAAGUUGCUUAAACUGAAAAUGUACGAUAAAUAAUUUUGAAUAUUUUCAAAAUUUAGAAUCGAAUUUUGGUAUUCAAAUAUAUUGAAUUUCACCAAUCAUAUUCUUUUAGAACUCCUGUAUUUACUUGUUUAUUGGAUAUUAUGUCAGCUCAUGAUUUGAAGUUUCAGACCAAGAAUAAUUGG